CACGGGCUGGAGUACCGCCUCAGAGUGCGGUUGCCAUUUUGUGGCGGGCGGGGCGGAUGAUGGCGCGGAGCUGUGCAGUGCGUGUUCGCGGGCGUGGUCUGGCCGGGAGGUGGAGGUCUUGGGCGGCACAUCCCUCCCCUCCCCGGGUGUAUCAGAGAGAAGCAGAAAGAUGUUCUCUCCCAGGAUAGACCUACCCAGAGCCCAGCUGCCCGUGGAAGGAGUGAUCUUAGUUCCCAACCCAGCAACGGCGUGCCUUUCCUUUCUUGUCUGUCCCCAUCUGAUCAACUUUAAAGUGCGUCUUUUUAAACAAGGAGAGAACAGACUUCUCUGCUCAGCUCCCUGAAACUGAACUGCUGACUGCUGGAACAACAGAGGUCAGUGUGUCUCACCUCACUGAAGUCAAAGACAAACCUAUGGAUUUUGAUAGGCUACAGCUUGGCAUUUGAAGGCAUUGUUUACGAUAUGGAGUACAAAAGUAUGUAAUAUUACGUGUAAAAAUUACUUUUCCACAAGCAUGUCAUACGCACGUACUUUUACUGUAGAUGCAGAAUUGAAUAAAUACUUUCAAACCUGGGUUUAUGGUGGGCAGGAAUACACUAUUUAAUAGCCCAAUUUUCAAAGAUUCUGUGCUACUAAUUUGUAAAUGAUCUGUAAUUAAUUAGUUCAACUCUGACACUGGAAAUUCAGAAACUUUGAAAAUGAGGCUUUUGACUUUGAAACAUUCAGGUUUGAAAGACUUGAAAAUAAAAGUACCUUUGAAUUUAA